CGCGGGGUGGAGCAGCCUGGUAGCUCGUCGGGCUCAUAACCCGAAGGUCGUCGGUUCAA
rnacentral:tRNA from 1 species